rnacentral:hammerhead_ribozyme from 1 species
AUCCAGCUGACGAGUCCCAGACACGACGAAACAUACAUCCUGGAU